rnacentral:sRNA from 1 species
AAAUUUUAGAUUUAACCCGUAUUGAAACGGUGGAUUAAUUAUAUUUUACUUUUUUAUUAAUGUUGAUUCAAAAACCCGUCCCUCCAAAUCUGUCUUGCCAAAAAGCCAUUUAUUUUAUUAAUAUUAAUUUUAUUUAUGAUAUGACUCUGAAUUAUAAUCUAAAUAUUUUAGCUAAUAACAUAGGAGUGCACCAUAUUUAUUUAAUAGGGGAAUAUACCAUAUGACCCGAAUUCACUUUUAUCCAAAUCCACCAAAAAAAAAGUCUUGCAAAAAUACUAUAGAGAUAAGAAACGAUAGUCGGUUUUGAUAGGUAUAAGAUUAGCAAAUAUAUUAGUUAGCUUAAAUUAGUUAAAAAAUACAAAUUGAAAAGAUAUAUUACACUUUAUUCGAAUCUAGUAUCAAAACUUAUAUAACACAGAGAUUUGAUAAUUUUUUAAUUGUUGAAUACUUUUUUUUUGUGCUAAUUUUUAUGUGAUUAAGAUUUAAUUGAUUUCGUAUAUAAAAUAUUAAAUUUUUUUACGAACUUAUUUGUUUAUAAUAUGGUGAGAGAUAAAUAUUUGAAUAUUCAGUAUAUUUUGCUUCAGUUUAGGAAAUCUUUGAUGACCCGUCUUUAGAUCCAAUAAGCCCUACAAUUAAGAGAUGAAUAUUGACGUUAAAUGAUUUUGGUAACCUUAAUGACGUCAUUAAAAGAUUUUGUUUUUGAUUAAAUUUUUCUAAUGGCAUUGUCAUGUAAUUAAUUACAAAAAUUAAGGUUACAUUUAAAAUGUACUUCCCAAAUAAUAUAGUAGGAUUUGGAUGACUUCAAUCACAUUCUAGAA